rnacentral:sRNA from 1 species
GUACAAAGCAGGCAAUACGUUGGCUGUUACAGAAAUUAAAAAAUGUUUCCUAAUAAAAGCAAAAAAAUGAAUUUUCUAAAAUUAAAUCGCAAAUUGUUAUUCGUCAUUAUGGGUAUCUGGCUGAUAAUCGUUGGCUGCAACUGGUGCCUGCAAAAAUGGGUAGCACUGAAACGGCGACUGAAUAACGAAUGGGCAGCAUUCUGUCAGAAGUUUAUAGCAGCCUAUUGGUUCCUAAAUGGCUAUAUACUCAUAUACCUAUGGAUAUUUCGUUACUAAAACAGAUGUAGACUCUAGGAUAUCUUUCGCUGAAAAGCAUCGCACAACUCAAAGAUGCAAUAAAUACACGGUUUUGGGGCAGAUCCUCCUAACCCAAAAAGGGAGCUACGAUUUGAUCUAUCGCUCAUCGACGAUGGAAAAGAGGAAACAACAACAAAAUCAGCGGCGCAUCUCAGUAGAAUACACUUUUAUCUCGAACACUCAACUGAGAAAUAAGUAUCUAAACAAAGAAGAAGUAUCUUAAAGUUACAGAGAUGCAGAAACACACACAAAUUAGUUGGUAUUGCGGCAAAAAUGUAUCUAUUGGUGCAUCUAACUGUUGUUGUGGCUUCUCUUUCAGAAAGUAUCCAAACAGCUGCAAGAUAUUGUAUCUGAGGCAAAAACACAACCAAGAAAGAUGCUGUUGUACAUAACAAAAACAUAACACAAUGUUUGAAACAGUAAAAUGAAUCUAUUGAAUGACUGUUUAUCUGUA